UUGCCUUGCUCCGUCAGUGUAGCGUUGCAUAACCGCCGAUUAUAUAAGCCCAAACAUAUAUGCAUGUGGACGAGGCUUAGAAAGGCAGCGAGUGCGAACAGCGCAUGCAAGCGUCUCACAUCAGUGGCGACCACUCCAGGGGAAGGACGAAGAAUAAAAUGGCUGAAAAAGGGACAACAUGUAUCAUGCUGCUGCUUCAAGUGCACUCCAUAACGGGUUCUGAUGAUGUCAUCGCUUUUAUUCCACUCAGGGUGAACUCUUCUCGAAGCAAGUUCCUCCAUCAAAUCAUCUCUCUUCAUUCUCCUGAGACUUUAAUCAUUUUUCAAGUUCCAUCUCCAGGUUUUUUUCCCCUCCACCCCUCAUCAUGUGCAGGAUGCUGUGAGGUGCUCGUGUCCAGUUUCCUGCCUUCUGCAGCAGAGAGGUGAGAGUCCUUGUUGUCAUAACAGCUGUUGUCAUGGUAGCUCCACUGGGCAAUAAACAUGUCCAUCCAUCCAUUAGUUGCCAUAUUGUACCGCUGUCUUCGAUAUACAUGACUUUUGAACAUUCUACAUGAAUGUAUGACCCUCGAAUUGGUCACAUUCUGUUAAAAUACUUUUAAUUUUUUUACCACCGUCGAUCUAUCUUGUACUGUAUAUUUUGUUUAUGGUCCAAGUGAGCUGUAGCCUGUACCAUCUGACAGGUGUACACAUUGGACUGGUUUCUAGUCAGUCACAGGGGUCAGCUAAAUUACUGUAAUAAGAGUAUGGGUAAAGUUCAAUCAUUUGUAUUCAUGAAAUGUUUUUAAAUGUUAGGUUAUCUAAAAGUUUUAUUGUAGUUUAUUGCAAUAUCUGUCACAAGGAACUGGUGUUAUUUAUAUUUGCUUUUUUUUGUCUAACAUACUGUAAGUAACCUGAAAAAAUGUAAAAUAAAAAAUUAAUUAAAUCAUUUCACUUUUCUAACACAAGUACAUAUUAAUAUAACGUAUGAAUUAAAAAAAAUGGCAUUCACACUAUUUUAGCUACCAUUUGUACACGUGACAAAAAAAAAAAAAACAUCUCUGACAAGGACUUAUUCAUAUUAAAAAUGCAGUAAGGGGAAAAAAAAGUUUACCAUGAAAUAAGGACCCGUUGUCAUAUACAGUACACUAUUUUAUCUAACGUUAAGUACAAUAAAUACAAAUAUUUACAUUUUUAAAACAAGGACAUUCUCAGUAAAAACACAGUAUGUAAAAA